UGGGGACGGAGGGGGGGCAAGAUGGCGGCGGUGCUGGAGGUGGAGGUUGGAGGCCCCGCGGAGCGCGAUGGGGAGGAGGUGGAUCUGUCGCACUUGUCCCCCGAGGAGCGGUGGAGGGUGGAGCACGCCCGGAUGCACGCCAAGCACCGCGGGCACGAGGCCAUGCACGCCGAGAUGGUGCUCAUCCUCAUCGCCACGCUCGUGGUGGCCCAGCUGCUCCUGGUGCAGUGGAAGCAGAGGCACCCUCGCUCCUACAACAUGGUGACCCUCUUCCAGAUGUGGGUAGUACCUCUCUAUUUCACCAUCAAGCUCAACUGGUGGCGGUUCCUGGUCAUCUGGGUGCUCUUCUCAGCAGUCACAGCCUUUGUCACCUUCAGGGCAACGCGGAAACCCCUGGUACAGACAACACCCAGGCUGGUUUAUAAAUGGUUUCUGCUAAUAUACAAGAUCAGCUACGCCACCGGCAUCGUGGGCUACAUGGCUGUGAUGUUCACCCUCUUCGGGCUCAACUUGCUGUUCAGAAUCAAGCCGGAGGAUGCCAUGGACUUCGGGAUCUCCCUCCUCUUCUAUGGCCUCUACUACGGGGUGCUGGAGCGGGACUUCGCCGAGAUGUGUGCGGACUACAUGGCCUCCACCAUCGGGUUCUACAGCGCCUCGGGGAUGCCGACCAAGCACCUCUCCGACAGCGUCUGCGCCGUCUGCGGCCAGCGCAUCCUGGUGGAUGUCAACGAGGAGGGGAUCCUGGAGAACACCUACCGGCUCUCCUGCAACCACGUGUAUCCUCCUGCUGCUCCUGCUGCUCCCGCUCCUCCUGCUGCUCCUCCUGCUCCCGCUCCUGCUGCUCCUGCUCCUGCUGCUCCCACUCCCCGCGCCUCCAGGCUCCUGCCCCGCAGCAGAACCCUCCUCGCGCUGGUUCCUCUCGGAGCGGUGCCUGCGGCGGCGCUGAGCUGGCACCAAAGAGGCCAAACCCUGCGUGUCCCUCAGGCUGCCCCUGUGUGUGUUACGAGCACAGGUUCCUCCUCCUGGGGCUGCUGCUGCGAGGCUGCACCUCGUGUUCAGCUGCCUCUGUCAGAUCCGCCUCCCACCGGAGCAGGUUGCUCCAAGCCCCUGUGUCCAACCUGGCCUUGAACACUGCCAGGGAUGGGGCAGCCACAGCUUCUCUGGGCACCCUGUGCCAGCGCCUCAGCACCCUCACAGGGAAGAGCUUCUGCCUCAGAGCUCAUCUCAGUGUCCCCUCGGGCAGGUUAAAGCCAUUCCCCUUGGCCUGUCCCUCCAUCCCUUGUCCAAAGCCCCUCUCCAGGUUUCCUGGAGCCCCUUUAGGCACUGGAGCUGCUCUAAGGUCUCCCCUUCAGGAGCCUUCUCUUCUCCAGGCUGCCCCAGCCCAGCUCUCUCAGCCUGGCUCCAGAGCAGAGCUGCUCCAGCCCUCGCAGCAGCUCCGGGGCCUCCUCUGGCCUCGCUCCAGCAGCUCCACGUCCCUCCGGUGAUUCCAGGUUUCCCUCAGCUGGGGCCGCUCGGUCGCGCUGGCUGCUGGAAGCCCUGUCACAGCCCCUGCCCGGGAGGGGUUUUCCAGCGUGACUCAGCCGGAGCUGGGAUGUUCCUCUGGCUCCUGCUCACGAGGUGGUUUCCAAACCGGGCUCUGAGCAAAGGUCACGCUCACAAAACCCAGUUCCCAAAUUUAACCACCGGGACCAGGCUCCGGGAGCUCGCCUCUGUCCUGGCCCCUGUCACCCCCCGGGCCUGGGGCUGCUCCGGGCCCCGCUCCCCUCAGGUUACCCAGGGCAGUUCCUGUGUGACAGAGGUGACACCCUCGUGGUGGCCUCACCCCGAGCUCCGCCGCAGCCGCCUCCUGCUUCCCCACGGCUCGUGGGGUGAAUCCCGUCAUGAGUCAGAGCCCGAGACCCCGUCAGGCUCCCGAUAAUCCCCAGGAGCCGCCUGUGACACGUGGAGGAGACCUCGGGGAGUUCCUGGAGCUCCACCCGGGCUCUGCAAACCCUCCAGUGGCCCCUCCACAGCCAGACCCAUCCCUGGGGCCGGGUCUCACCCUCGGGCCAUGGAGCUCCUUGGUCCCGUGUUGGUGUAACCCGCUGUGAGCCCGCAUCAGGCACCGCUGGUGGUGGGUCCCUGUCCCCCCCAGUGCCUGCUCAGAGCCCCACCAGCCCCGUCCUCCGUGCCUGGAAGGUUCUGCUCCUUCUAGGAAAGGGCACCCAUUGAGCAACGCAUCCGCCCGCACCCAGGGGGACGUUUCCUGCCCUGUGCGAUGGGGCUGGGCUGGGCUUUGGGGGAAGCUGGAUGGUUUUCUCCCUUCGUGGUUGUGUCCCCCGUGUCCCGCAGCCCGAGGCUGUUCUCCUUGACCUGCUGCUCCCAGGUUCCACGAGUUCUGCAUCCGGGGCUGGUGCAUCGUGGGGAAGAAGCAGACGUGUCCGUACUGCAAAGAGAAGGUGGAUCUCAAGAGGAUGUUCAGUAACCCCUGGGAGCGGCCGCACGUCAUGUACGGGCAGCUGCUGGACUGGCUGCGGUACCUGGUGGCCUGGCAGCCCGUCAUCAUCGGCCUGGUCCAGGGCAUCAACUACAUCCUGGGGCUGGAGUAGGGCAGCGGAGCCCUGGAGCGCCCCGAGGCUCGGGGCGGGACGGCCGCCGGCCCGGGCACACGCAGCGCCCCUCGGCUGCCCCCAUGGGGACGUGGGGCAGGACCCGGCGCCGGCUCCGGCCGAGGCUCGUUUUUAAAGGAUCCUUUUAAUGAGUAUUUAAAACUUUCUAUUGCAGCCGCAAGAGACGCUUGUCCCUCCCCAUGGCCCGUGCGGGGCCGGGGCUGGGCUCCAGCAGCGCCCGCUCCUGCUGCGGCAGUGACGGGAGGGGGCUGAGCCUUUGCCGGCUCCGGUGCCAGCCCCGAGGCUGGCAGCAGCCCCACAGCAGCACGGACGGGAUGUGGGGACUAUGGGGCUGCCCCGGAGCCCCUGAGAGGGGACGGAGAGACGCGUGGGGGCCCCUCCUGUGGGUCACAGGCAGAGCUGAGCCCCGGGGACCCUUUUGUAGCUCCCACUUUUCUAUGUUCAUCCCAGGAUCCGGCUGUGUCCCAGCGGGGUCCCAGCCUGGGCACGGAGCGGGGCCGGGGCCGCUGCUCUCCCUGCGUCCCGGCCUGGGAUGGUGGCACCGGUUGUCCCUGUCCCGUCCCGGGGGACACGUCGCUGCGGUGGCGGCUCCGUGGGAUGGAGCACGGGUGGGAGCCGCGCUCCCUGCGCCGCAGCCACCUUGAGCCCGGCUCUGGGGGGCGCGGACCCCGGCGCCGGCGCAUGGGGGGCACACACGGUGCAGCAUCACCCCGGCCGUGGGCAGCGGCCGCGCCUCCGGGGCCCUUUGGUUUUGGUUUGGGUGAAGCCGCGUCAGCGCCUGGUGCCAAACACCGGAACAAGAGUCCUGGAACCAGA